rnacentral:rRNA from 1 species
ACGAACGCUGGCGGCAGGCUUAACACAUGCAAGUCGAGCGCCUCGCAAGAGGAGCGGCAGACGGGUGAGUAACGCGUGGGAAUCUACCCAACCCUACGGAACAACUCCGGGAAACUGGAGCUAAUACCGUAUACGCCCUUUGGGGGAAAGAUUUAUCGGGGAUGGAUGAGCCCGCGUUGGAUUAGCUAGUUGGUGGGGUAAAGGCCUACCAAGGCGACGAUCCAUAGCUG